AUCACAACAGUUCCCGUACGAUCAAUGAAGUUAAGCAGCGUCGAGCCUGGUUAGUACCAAGAUGGGUGAUAGCUUGUGAAUACCAGUUGCUGUAA